AGCUUGUCCUUUUCGUUUACGUAACCAACUCUCAUUAUAAAAUAACAGCAGACCUGCUAAAUAGUAGACUGCAGAGGUUCGCGUUCAGUUUUUAUGAUCAAAGUAACAAACCUUCCCCAAAAUUUAAGACCAAUCUGUUGCGAAAAAAAGGUAACUAUAACACGAAGCAACGGGCAUCACAGAAUUGGUGUUUAAUUCGAAUGCUUCCUCUUUUAAUUGGUGAUUUGAUCCCGGAAGGAGACGAAUAUUUUUCCUUGAUUCUCAUUUUACUAGAAAUAAUGGAUAUUGUUUUUGCACCUAGUGUUUCAAUUGAGCAGACUAUUAUUCUAGAAGAUCUUAUUAACCAAAUGUAUUCAAGGUUUCAUUCAUUAUUUCCAUUGACUAGACCUAUUAACAAAUUCCACCAUAUGGCACACUAUCCAGCAGCUAUCCGGACUUAUGGUCCAGCUGUUGGAUAUUGGUGCAUGAGAUAUGAGGCUUACCAUAAUAGUUGUAAACGUGUUGCACAUAUAAACUGUAAUUUUAUUAACAUUCCAAAAUCAGUUGCUUAUCAUCUGCAAACGAUUUCCUGUCACAAUCUAUUAACUAAUGAUUUAUUUCACGAUGAUAUUCCCACGGUCGGUCCCAGGUCAAAAAAAAACUUAGUUAACAGGCAAGAAGACUCAAUCACUGAUGGAAAUAGUUCUUUAAAUCUGGAUUCAAACGCAACUGUUAUAAGAUGGGUAAAGUUUAAAGGCUGGCAUUACCGACCAGGAACCGUAAUAUUACUAAAACACAGCUUUGAAAAUCUUUCGGGGUAUCCGGAAUUCGGUAAAAUAAUAAAAAUUUUGUCAGGAGGCCAGGCAAUUUAUUUUGUUGUUACAGUUUUAGAGACCAUUACUUUCAACCGUCACUUUCAUGCCUUUGAAUUACAACCUUAUUUUCCUGCUAAAUCUAUUAUGAUUGCACAUGAUAAUUUGAGACCAAAUGUUGCUCCAACAUGGUUAUUAAAAAGUUUUAAUGUUUCCGAAAAUGUCUCUUACGUAACUGUUCGUUAUUUUGUCUAAAAUUAACAUAUUUCUCAUUCCUUUUAAAUAGCUGCUGAUAUUGAUGGACAGUGCCUUCUCUGUUUAGAUGAAGCAAAUGUUGAAGUACUUCAACUAACACUGGGACACAAGAUGAAACUGCUUAGUUUCAUAAAAACAAUCAAAAGUCAGCAGCCCCAAGAGCAAGAAAAGGAAUCUACUGGAAUUGUGGCUUGUGAUCCAACGAUAGAAUACGAACCAAUCGUCAACGAGAAUCAGAUACUUGAUAUCAUUGUGACGGACCAACCUUCAAAUAACAAUGUGAUUGAUUUCAACGUCAUCGACAUUUUAAAUGCGACCGACGAGGGGAAAGUAAUUGUGCAAAACUACCUGGAACGACUUGAGGCUUUCAUUACUGAAAAAGAGCGCAUCACAAUUGUUCAGAUCCUAGUGAAUCGCUUAGUGACAUUGACUGGAAAACUCGACUUAUUUCCCCCGACGGAGAAAAGAAAAAAUCUUGGUGAAGCCAUAGUGGCUGCGUUUCCUUGCCUGGGAAUCAACGUGGAUGGCAAAGUGUUUUCUUGUCAUUUCUAUAAUCAAACAACUGGAUCUGGUUUUAUUGAGACAAGGCUGAAAAGACUGAGGGAAGUUCAUCGUGAAGAACCACGCCGGAAGAGGCCAACACAGGACUCUUCUCCAAUCCAAAAAAACCGCGUGUCACGAAACGGCCUCAUGUAAAGAAAAAUGCCGACUACAUCUUCAAUGAAGCCGAAUGCCAGUUUAAGGUUGAAUGGUUGAAGAGUCAUCCGCCUGGAGGAGAUAAUGACACAGUCAUCAUUGAGUACAGCAAGGCGACUUUUGGGUAUCGCCAAAAAGAAAUCAAACAAACUCUGACUGAACCUGGUCUCAUCAUGAAAGAAUAUCCCCGCUUCAAGGACUUCCAAAAUGGAUCUCUGUUUCAGGUAGAAUUUCAGUUACUCUAUCCCGAUGCCAAGAACUUCGAAAAAGUCUUUAAAGAAAAAUUCUUAUUUAAAAUAUUGGCUCUGGCUAAUAAAAAAAACAUUGACAUUCCUGACUGCCCUGACGAAUGUCUUAAGGCCGUUUUCGUGUUACUAAAGCUGACUCCAAGCAUCGUUAAACUCCGAAAAGUUAAUUUUCGUUUGAUUACGGAACGACUGAUAGUCUUUUUAAAGGCAAUU